rnacentral:rRNA from 1 species
AUACGGAGGGUGCAAGCGUUACGCGGAAUCACUGGGCGUAAAGGACGCGUAGGCGGGUUGGCAAGUCAGAUGUGAAAUCCUACAGCUUAACUGUAGAACUGCAUUUGAAACUGCUAACCUAGAGUAUGGGAGGGGGAGAUGGAAUUAGUGGUGUAGGGGUAAAAUCCGUAGAUAUCACUAGGAAUACCGAAAGCGAAGGCGAUCUCCUGGAACAUAACUGACGCUAAGGCGUGAAAGCGUGGGGAGCAAACAGGAUUAGAAACCCUAGUAGUCC